rnacentral:rRNA from 1 species
CCUACGGGGGGCUGCAGUGGGGAAUAUUGGACAAUGGGGGGAACCCUGAUCCAGCCAUGCCGCGUGUGUGAAGAAGGCCCUCGGGUUGUAAAGCACUUUCAGUGAGGAAGAACGCCUGGUGGUUAAUACCCAUCAGGAAAGACAUCACUCACAGAAGAAGCACCGGCUAACUCCGUGCCAGCAGCCGCGGUAAUACGGAGGGUGCGAGCGUUAAUCGGAAUUACUGGGCGUAAAGCGCGCGUAGGUGGCUUGAUAAGCCGGUUGUGAAAGCCCCGGGCUCAACCUGGGAACGGCAUCCGGAACUGUCAAGCUAGAGUGGAGGAGAGGAAGGUAGAAUUGCCGGUGUAGCGGUGAAAUGCGUAGAGAUCGGGAGGAAUACCAGUGGCGAAGGCGGCCUUCUGGACUGACACUGACACUGAGGUGCGAAAGCGUGGGUAGCAAACAGGAUUAGAUACCCCAGUAGUC